UCAUACGGAGGAUCCGAGCGUUAUCCGGAGUGACUGGGCGUAAAGAGUUGCGUAGGGGGUUUGUUAAGCAAGUGGUGAAAUCGUGUGGCUCAACCAUACGGCUAUUAUUUGAACUGAUAAACUUGAGAGUAUGAGGGGUAGAUGGAAUUCCUAAUGUAGGGGUAAUAUCCGUAGAUAUUAGGAGGAACACCAAUGGCGUAGGCAGUCUACUGGCAUACUUCUGACCCUGAGGCACGAAAGCGUGGGGAGCGAACCGGAUUAGAUACCCGGGUAGUCCACGCCGUAAACUAUGGAUGCUAGCUGUUGGACGUAUCGACCCGUUCAGUAGCGAAGCUAACGCGUUAAGCAUCCCGCCUGGGGAGUACGGUCGCAAGAUUA
rnacentral:rRNA from 1 species